UUCGGUGUCAGAUAUGAAGUGGCAGAUUUUCAGGCAGGAUCUUUCAAAGUCAUCUUCCGGGACUGUAAAGCUGUGUUUGGAGAUAUUACCGUCCAAAUUCUUAACGUGAAUCUUACACCAACAGCCCUUUCCACCAUCAAGAACUCAAUAAUCGGCAGCAUCAACCUACAGAUUUGUAACAUCCUGAGUGCUGUCUUAAAUGUGGCGAGGGAUAGGCUGAUGGACAC